rnacentral:rRNA from 1 species
ACUCCUACGGGAGGCAGCAGUAGGGAAUCUUCCACAAUGGGCGCAAGCCUGAUGGAGCAACACCGCGUGAGUGAAGAAGGGUUUCGGCUCGUAAAGCUCUGUUGUUAAAGAAGAACACGUAUGAGAGUAACUGUUCAUACGUUGACGGUAUUUAACCAGAAAGUCACGGCUAACUACGUGCCAGCAGCCGCGGUAAUACGUAGGUGGCAAGCGUUAUCCGGAUUUAUUGGGCGUAAAGAGAGUGCAGGCGGUUUUCUAAGUCUGAUGUGAAAGCCUUCGGCUUAACCGGAGAAGUGCAUCGGAAACUGGAUAACUUGAGUGCAGAAGAGGGUAGUGGAACUCCAUGUGUAGCGGUGGAAUGCGUAGAUAUAUGGAAGAACACCAGUGGCGAAGGCGGCUACCUGGUCUGCAACUGACGCUGAGACUCGAAAGCAUGGGUAGCGAACCGGAUUAGAUACCCUGGUAGGAUAGCG